CGCAAUUACAUUUGCACCAACCUAAUAACACUGGAACAAUACAGAGAAGAUUAGCAUGGACCCUGCACAAGAAUGACAUGCAUAUUCAGAAAGCAUUUCAUAUUUUU
rnacentral:snRNA from 2 species